rnacentral:rRNA from 1 species
ACGGGUGCGUAACGCGUGGGAAUCUGCCCCUUGGUUCGGAAUAACAGUUGGAAACGACUGCUAAUACCGGAUGAUGACGAAAGUCCAAAGAUUUAUCGCCAAGGGAUGAGCCCGCGUAGGAUUAGCUAGUUGGUGAGGUAAAGGCUCACCAAGGCAACGAUCCUUAGCUGGUCUGAGAGGAUGAUCAGCCACACUGGGACUGAGACACGGCCCAGACUCCUACGGGAGGCAGCAGUAGGGAAUAUUGGACAAUGGGCGAAAGCCUGAUCCAGCAAUGCCGCGUGAGUGAUGAAGGCCUUAGGGUUGUAAAGCUCUUUUGCCCGAGAUGAUAAUGACAGUAUCGGGAGAAUAAGCCCCGGCUAACUCCGUGCCAGCAGCCGCGGUAAUACGGAGGGGGCUAGCGUUGUUCGGAAUUACUGGGCGUAAAGCGCACGUAGGCGGUUAUUCAAGUCAGAGGUGAAAGCCCAGUGCUCAACACUGGAACUGCCUUUGAAACUAGAUAGCUUGAAUCCAGGAGAGGUGAGUGGAAUUCCGAGUGUAGAGGUGAAAUUCGUAGA